UGGCAGCCCUCACCGAGCAUGCGCUGCCGUGUUUCGCCCCGCCUCUUUCCCCCAGGUCCCGCCCUAAAUCUCAGUUUUCUGCCCUAGUCCCGCCCCUGUGGCCCGGCCCUUCUGUCUUGGCCCCGCCCCGCUGCCGCGGAGACUCUGGCCUCAACUGGAGGUUGGCACAGCAUGAGGUUCAGCGCUAAGGGAUUUUUUUUUUUUUAAUCUAAAGGAUUUGUCCAAAUGAUUUCUCCGUGCAAAAACUUGGGGCGACUCAAAGAAUAUAAUAAUAGUAAUUUUAAAAUUAAUAAUUUAAUAAGUACUUGCUUUUCAAAUGUCAAGUUCCUUCUUGCAUCCUACCAAUGAAAUGACAAGGAAAUGUCAUAAUAAAGCCUCUAGGGAAAUCCUGCCUCUGCAUUUACUCCCGGGACCUAGGACAAAUUACUUACUUCCUCCGAAGUGCUGCUCCCAGUAAGACAAAAUGGAGAGCAAGACUCUUCAUCCAGAGAGAGCUCUACUAACACGCAGGAAGCAAUCAAUAAAGGCUACAACCACGAACUGACUUGUGUAAGGUCACAUAACUAGAACUGAAAAUUAGCGUUCUUUUCAGACACAAGUCAAACUUACCUUAGGAAAUGUGUCUCACAGUAGCAAAAUGUACAAAUUUACUGCUAUUCUGCCACCCCCAACCACACCAUGCAUCUGUGCAUCGGAGCCCCCCAGCCCUCAACUUUGCACCCUCAUCUCUACAGCAGCUUCAUCAUGGCUGACCCCCUUUUACUCCCACCCCUACGUACUGUACCGUACAGACAUCCACCCCGACACAGAUCGCUUAAUUUCCCAGCUAACACUCUUCAGUAAUGAUGUUCAAAAAGGAAACCCAUCCAGGUCUUCACCCUGCCCUCACUUCUUGUCUCUAACUGUACUGAGUCCCCCUUGACUCAAUCUUGAUCUUUUUUUUUUAAACUGUCCUUUUGUCCAUUCAAGAAGGCAGCCUCCUUCACAUUUCAGAGCCCAGAAAACCUUCCUUCUAGCAGGGCAUAGUGGCUCCUGUCUUGAAUCCCAACACCCAGGAGGCAGAGGCAGCAACUCCCACAGCAUGUCCGCCUGGAUGCUGCCUGGAUGCUGCCUGGAUGCUGCCUUGCUUCCUGCCAUGAUGAUGAUGACUGAACCUCAGAACCUGUAAGUCACCCAAUUAAAUGUUGUUCUAAGAGUUGCCUUGGUCCUAGUGUCUCUUCACAGCAGUGGGACCCCUAGCUAAGACAGCCAGAGUGGUUAGGCGCCUGUCCUGUGGGGCCAUAAAGUCCACAGAAGACUGCCCUUCCAGAUGAGCCUUCCCUGAGUAGACACAAGAGGCACACUGCUCCUCUCAAGAAUCUGCAAGUUAGAGCUUUCCUUCCACCCUCCUUCUUACUCUAGGCAUUCCAAGUCUCCUUAGCAAAGGCUGCCCAGGCUCAGGGUUGCCACAGAAGAUAUGUUGUCAGGAUGGAUGACCUGGCUUUGGGGGAAAGACUGAGAAAAUCAUGAGGUUAUUGACUCCUUAAUCUACAUGCACUGUCUAGACAUAUUCCAUAACUUACUAAUCAAUCAGGCCCAGCGAUUUUAAACUAUUCUCUCUCUCUCUCUCUCUCUCUCUCUCUCUCUCUCUCUCUCUCUCUCUAGUUAUUUUCUGUGCUCACUCUAUCUGCGUGCACACCUGCAGGCCAGAAGAGGGCGUUGGAUCCCCAUUAUAAAUGGUUGUGAGCCACGAUGUGGUUGUGAGGAAUUGAACUUAAGACCUCUGGAAGAGUAGUGUUCUUAACCACUGAGCCAUCUCUCCACCCCUGUAGUGGUAAUUUUGGUUUCCAGUGGGUCACACUCACACCCAACCACCCAGGAGUUCUUUGGAUUUGAGAAUAAAACACACACACACACACACACACACACACACACACACACACACACACGUCAGUUAAUUUAUGACGUGCUGUGACUAGCUCAAAGAUUGGACACUAAA